rnacentral:rRNA from 1 species
AUUGAACGCUGGCGGCAGGCCUAACACAUGCAAGUCGAACGAGUGGCGGACGGGUGAGUAAUGUCUGGGAAACUGCCUGAUGGAGGGGGAUAACUACUGGAAACGGUAGCUAAUACCGCAUACCAUCAGAUGUGCCCAGAUGGGAUUAGCUUGUUGGUGGGGUAACGGCUCACCAAGGCGACGAUCCCUAGCUGGUCUGAGAGGAUGACCAGCAACACUGGAACUGAGAACGGGUCCAGACUCCUCCGGUGGGCGGAGGUGGGGAAUAUUGCACAAUGGGGGAAAUCCUACGGCAGCCAGGCGGCGUGUAUGAAGCAGGCCUCCGGGUGGUAAAGUACUUUCAGCGGGGAGGCGUUACCCGAAGAAGAAGCACCGGCUAACUCCGUGCCAGCCGCCGCGGUAAUUC